AAGUUAGUAACCGGUUACAGUGUGUGUAACAGUUACUAUAGGUAACAAAAUAACGUUACUGCACUCGGGUUGUUUUCAGGAAGAAACAUUGUUUCAGGAAGAGGCAUUGUUUUAGGAAGAAACGCUGUUUUAAGGAUAAACACUGUUUUAGGAAGAAACAGUCGUUUCAGGAAGAAGCGUUGUUUUCAGGAAGAAGAACGGUUUUCAGGAAGAAACAUGGUUUCAGGAUGAAAUCAGGGACACCUCCAGGAAGGAGACCGAGAGCCGAUUAGGAAUAUCGGUGGGGCAGGAGCCUAAAGGGAUUGAAUCACGGAAGAUACAGGAUGGACACGUCAGGAAGAAAGUGGGACGCCAGCAAGGAUUGUGGGUUAGGACGACCAAAAAGGAAAAGUUUUCACGGAUGAGCAGGGAUGCAAAUGUGUAGCGGGAUAGCUAUAAAACGAACCGGGGGUACUGAGCAAUCAGUACCCCCAAUUUUU
rnacentral:sRNA from 1 species